rnacentral:rRNA from 1 species
AUUGAACGCUGGCGGAAUGCUUUACACAUGCAAGUCGAACGGCAGCACGGACUUCGGUCUGGUGGCGAGAGGCGAACGGGUAAGUAAUAUAUCGGAACGUGCCCAGUCGUGGGGGAUAACGUAGUGAAAAUUACGCUAAUACCGCAUACGAUCUAUGGAUGAAAGCGGGGGAUCGCAAGACCUCGCGCGAUUGGAGCGGCCGAUAUCAGAUUAGGUAGUUGGUGGGGUAAAGGCUCACCAAGCCAACGAUCUGUAGCUGGUCUGAGAGGACGACCAGCCACACUGGAACUGAGACACGGUCCAGACUCCUACGGGAGGCAGCAGUGGGGAAUUUUGGACAAUGGACGCAAGUCUGAUCCAGCCAUUCCGCGUGCAGGACGAAGGCCUUCGGGUUGUAAACUGCUUUUGUACAGAACGAAAAGGUCUCUAUUAAUACUAGGGGCUCAUGACGGUACUGUAAGAAUAAGCACCGGCUAACUACGUGCC